CCUAAAAUACCUGCUUGGUGAACAAUAUAUAGUAUAAGCAGCUAACAAAAACACUCGCCUAACAUGCACUUGGGCCGAGAUAGAGC
rnacentral:sRNA from 1 species